rnacentral:ncRNA from 2 species
GAACUUCGAUCGGGAGAGAACGCCGGAGACAUCGCGGCGGCGCCGAAGGAGCAACCGCCCCGGAAACUCUCAGGCAAAAGGACCGAUCGGAUCAA